rnacentral:rRNA from 1 species
UUGGAGGGCAAGUCUGGUGCCAGCAGCCGCGGUAAUUCCAGCUCCAAUAGCGUAUAUUAAAGUUGUUGCAGUUAAAAAGCUCGUAGUUGAAUUUCGGGGUUAGUAGGUUGGUCAUGCCUCUGGUAUGUACUGGUCUCACUGAUUCCUCCUUCCUGAUGAGCCGUAAUGCCAUUAAUUUGGUGUUGCGGGGAAUUUGGACUGUUACUUUGAAAAAAUUAGAGUGUUUAAAGCAAGCUAACGCUUGAAUACAUUAGCAUGGAAUAAUGAAAUAGGACGUUCGAUCCUAUUUUGUUGGUUUCUAGGAUUGACGUAAUGAUUAAUAGGGAUAGUUGGGGGCAUUAGUAUUCAAUUGUCAGAGGUGAAAUUCUUGGAUUUAUUGAAGACUAACUACCGCGAAAGCAUUUGCCAAGGAUGUUUUCAUUAAUCAAGAACGAAAGUUAGGGGAUCGAAGACGAUCAGAUACCGUCGUAGUCUUAACCAUAAACUAUGCCGACUAGGGAUCAGAUGAUGUUAAUUUUUUAAUGACUCAUUCGGCGCCUUACGGGAAAC